ACCCACGGGGCGGGAAUCGAACCCACAACCUUCUGCUUACCGGGCAGGUGCCAUGUCCACUAGGCUACCCUGGA